UCUGUCAACAGGAACUGCCACGUUUUCUCUUGUUUUCAUUAUUCAGAACACCCCCUGCCCCGCCUUCCAUCAUGACUUCUAUGCUCAUGGAAAAACUUUAACAACCUGCAGCCUACCUGUCCUUGUUUUUAAGGCAUUUUUGGGAAGACAGCUGGAUUUCCUGGAUGCCAAGCAAAACUGUGCUGUGCAGGAUGUCUUAACGCUGGCACCAGUGACUCGUAAGCAUCAUGGUUAAAGGGAUCUCUUUAUCAGCCCACUCCCACCAGCUUCUGAAGCCAAUCCCAUCAUUGGAAUUCCGUGGUUUUCAUGAUAACCUAAAACCAAAGAAGCCAGAAGAAUAGAAGUUACCAGUGGCACAAAACCUGGGCAGCUCACAUAUCCCCCACAUUAUCUGUGGUACUGCAACAAGGACAUUCUGGAUCAUAACAAUAAUAACGACAAUAGUAGAAGCUGAUAGCCAAAGUGUGUCCUCCAGAAGAGAUUACACUCCAGAGUGUGUGGCACGGGACACUUGGACAGUUCUGCAGGGAGCUAGGCUGGGCCCCGCAGAGUUCAGUAGAUAAAGCUCAGGACUGCACAAACACAAUUAUACACCUCCCGAACCCUCCCUGACCUUAAAAUCCUUAGGCUGCCUUCACGUGGCACUGCACCUGAACGAUAAACCACGCUGUACUGAGCCACCUUGGGUCUCUACAUCCAUGGCACAGUUAAUCUGCAGUCCAGAUAUCCAUGCAGACCAUGGAUAUUUGACGGAUGAAGUUCAGUCCAAUACAUUACUCAUCUCCAGCUGAAAGUAUAUUUAAGCAUUGGAGAACCAGGAGAACUUGUUUCCCUCUUCUAGUCUCUGGGGCGAGACAAAGAGCUAUAUUCAUCUAAAAUCUUGAAAAUCCAGGUGACCAGAUCAAUUCAAUCACCUCAUUUUCACAAAUGCAUCCUUUUUAAUAAAUGUAUUUUAGGAAUUCUCUCCUUUUCACUUUUUAUUUAAUUCCACUUUCUGUGGGAGUAGAAUCUGACAUAUAUUGAAUAAUAAAAAAAGGGAAGUGGAUCACCCGCUCUUUCCUGCUCUAAUAAAAAUGAUAAAAGUUACAUUUCCAAAUAAACAUAUGUUAAGCUACAUGACUGCUUAAAUCAGGGACCUCCCUUGAUGUGUAUCCUCCAGUACCUCUUAUGCUUCUGGUUAACAUUAACAAAAAGAAAAACAAAAGUAGUUUAAAGGAGCCAUACCUUAUUUAAGAGAUGUAAUUUAGUGUUUACCAAGCAAUGAGAAUAUGUGCUUCUUAAAGAAAAUAAACAAACGUGAAUGCAAAACAAGAUUAAAAUAGCUACUACAGA